GGGUGUUCCUGAUCUUUGAGCCAUGAUAAUGUUACUGGUUGGAUGUCAGGAGCAGGCCAUGUGGAUGAUUAAAAGAUGAAUAUCAUAUACAGCAUGGAUAUGUUGGACAAAAAGAUGAUUCACAUCCCAGACAGAAUGGAGCAGGAUGGGGAGUGUCGGAUGGGAAACAGCAAAGGGAGAGCCCUAGAAAUCUGGUUUGAGCAGCUGGGAAAGCAGAUGCACUCACCAAGAAAAACGUUUGCAGAGAAGCCAGUAGAGAGGGGAGGUCCAGAGACACUCAAGUUGAACAAGUUACCUUGAGAUUCCUGUGAGCACAUUUAUUAAAAGCCAGAAGCUAGAAGACGAGGAAAGAAGAGAUGCAGCUGGAGAGCCUGGGGUGAGAACAUGAGCAGUCUAUAAUCAGAAAAUCCCUUUGGGAUAAAUUGACAAAAAUAUAAACCACUCCACAAAGGAGAAAUUGUAAAUGAGUUGUUAUGUAAAACCUCCCAGCGAAAGAAAUAGUCCAGAAAGCUUGAAGAGAAACUGAAAUUUGAAAAAUCUACCUAAAAAGGUGAUAAAGGAUUUUCAGUUUUGCAAAAAACGCAAUACAGAGUGUCUUUGGAAAGAAAGUUCUCAUAUGGAUUUAAAAUAUGAUUCAAUUUACAGAAGUCAGAGUUGUUCUUCCAGAUGGCAUGAAUCCAACAGUGAAGAAAUCAGAAUACGUUGCUUUUGUGAGGGGCAGCUGCUGAUUUUCUCUGAGCUCCGUUUCCAGCCUUCACAUGCUCUGCUAUUCAUCACAGGGUAAAUUCUGACUAUAGGAGGUACUGACAGAAGAUUAGGGAAGAACAGAGGGCUAAAUGUUUAUUGACUUCUUGAAAAAUGCUAUGUGUCUUGCCA
rnacentral:lncRNA from 1 species